AAGACCGCGAGGUGGAGCAAAUCCCUAAAAGCCAUCCCAGUUCGGAUUGCAGGCUGCAACCCGCCUGUAUGAAGUUGGAAUCGCUAGUAAUCGCGGAUCAGCAUGCCGCGGUGAAUACGUUCCCGGGCCUUGUACACACCGCCCGUCACACCAUGAGAGUCGGGAACACCCGAAGUCCGUAGCCUAACCGCAAGGGGGGCGCGGCCGAAGGUGGGUUCGAUAAUUGGGGUGAAGUCGUAACAAGGUAAC
rnacentral:rRNA from 1 species